UUGAAAGGGAAACGAUUGAAGUCAGUCGUACCAGCGGGAAAUCAACCUUUCGAGUGGGGGUUUUGGAGUUUUUUGAAGAGUGUCAAAACCUUUGAGAUUUCAAAAUAUUCGCUCUUUUGGUGUACUUUCUCGUGGGUAGGUUAACAUCGAUUUUGAUCAUCAUAAAAAGAUUGGAGGAAUGUAGCUUCGAUCUUGUAUUGAAGUGUUAUAGCCUUUGGUAAAUGUGAUGAUUAGGAUCGAGGAUUGCAACGAAUACCCUUUGGGCUAUCCGCCUGAUCUCUGAUACGUGGCCUUGGUAUCGAAAGCGUGCUUAUGGUAUUGAGGUAUUACGGUCAAAAGGUUAGAACGGAUUACAUUCGUUAAGGAUGUUGACGUA
rnacentral:rRNA from 1 species